UGGGGAAUAUUGCACAAUGGGCGCAAGCCUGAUGCAGCCAUGCCGCGUGUAUGAAGAAGGCAUUCGGGUUGUAAAGUACUUUCAGUCGGGAGGAAGGUGUCAAGGUUAAUAACCUUGGCAAUUGACGUUACCGACAGAAGAAGCACCGGCUAACUCCGUGCCAGCAGCCGCGGUAAUACGGAGGGUGCAAGCGUUAAUCGGAAUUACUGGGCGUAAAGCGCACGCAGGCGGUUGAUUGAGUCAGAUGUGAAAUCCCCGGGCUUAACCCGGGAAUUGCAUCUGAUACUGGUAAGCUAGAGGCUUGUAGAGGGGGGUAGAAUUCCAUGUGUAGCGGUGAAAUGCGUAGAGAUGUGGAGGAAUACCGGUGGCGAAGGCGGCCCCCUGGACAAAGACUGACGCUCAGGUGCGAAAGCGUGGGGAGCAAACAGG
rnacentral:rRNA from 1 species